rnacentral:lncRNA from 1 species
CAUACAUGUUUAUUGAAUUUAGUGGAUGAAGUGAGCCUCUUCCAGCAUGCUCGAGGAGAUUACAGUUGUAUCUUCCAUGGGUCCCAGUGGCAUAACUCUAAAAAACCAUAAAGGUGGAACUCUCACGCAAGUGCAUAUUCAAAUGUCCCUUUAUCAAAUUCUUCAACUUCAUCUUCCCAUGUAGAGGAAGGCAUGCUACUGUACGGGUCUAACAGGAUUUUGAAGCAUCUAAUAAUAAGAAGUCCUAAGAAGAUACACAAAAUCCCAACAAAAGCAAAGCCAGUUUUUUGUUCCAGAGUCAACGAAAAAGCUGAUACUUCAUUGACGCUCAUCUUAGCCGAGGAGUUGCCACAGUAGGUACUACUCAUUAUUCACUGUCACAUCAUUAUGGCUCUUCAGAAUUCCUGCUGGAGUCACCUGUUGGCCUAAAUACAAAAUAGAACUCAGUUUAGUGUUAUUCAUAUACGGUAUUGAGCAGGUAAUUGUUUUAUAAAAUCUGGCAGUUUUCAAACCCUCUUGACUUAACUCACAAAAGAUGUGUGAAAACAUCAUCAGAUAUGGAUCAGCAUCAAAUUAGCAUUGGAGAUGCUAUUUCUAUUGUAGUAAUUACUGAAUUGCCUCGGUGGGCAAAUGAAACUGUACCUACAUGCACUAAAUAUAAAAUCAGAUAUGAAAGUGAAUAUUCAAAUAAUGAACCCUAGAAGUUUGGAUUCAUUGUGAGAUGGUUAAGUCACUACUUCUUUGAACUGAAUUGUCAUCUAAUUUUUACUUCAUUUUUGCAUGUAGAUAACACCAUAAAUAAUCAUAGUGUGUGAGCUGGUCAAGCUCUCUAAGGUCCAUGUUCUAAGGUCUGUCUCCAGUGCCACUUUGUUUGAUACAGAUUCUGAUCCUUUUAAAUAGGUAUAAAGUCUCUCUUUUCAUUCUCUUGGCUUUUAGAUGUAUGCACUUGUGUUUUCUUCCCCACUACCACUCUGUAUGCUAGAUGUUAAUUUCUUAAAGAGGUAAAUUGUGUUUUUAAAAUUAUUUUAAUAAGAGCCGUAGCCAACAGAGCAUCCUGCAAGUAGCAGGCAACAGUAGCUGUGGAUCAUUAGCCAUUGCCCCGCCAUCCCCAUUAGCUUUCAGAACACCCUAAAUGGACAUAAAAUCCAAGUUAAACAGCAUGUUUUCCAUAAACAUUCAGCUUCACAAUGAGCUCCCCAGUUCUCUUCCCAACCAGAAUCUUACUCCUAAGCUUGUAUUCUACUGAGAUUUUAAAACUACAGCAAAAUUGUUCAGAAAGUGUAUGUUAGGGGCGCCUAGGUGGCUUGGUCGGUUAAGCAUCCGAGUUUGGCUCAGGUCAUGAUCUCACGGUCCGUGAGUUCAAGCCCCACGUCGGGCUCUGUGCUGACAGCUCAGAGCCUGGAGCCCAUUUCAGAUUCUGUGUCUCCCUCUCUCUCUGCCCCUCCCUGUUCAUGCUCUGUCUCUCUCUGUCUCAAAAAUAAAUAAACGUUAAAAAAAAAAUUAGAAAAGAAAGUGUAUGUUGGAUUGAAGCAAAACAGAUUUUCCCACUUGAUGUGUUAAUUAAGUUAAUUAAUUAAUUAAAAUUAAGAUGAGUUCAUUAGAUCAAAGUUUACUAACACACAGCCACCCUUCUUGAGAGGACUGUCAUUAAAUAGCUUAUCAUCUAAAAACUGAGAAUAAUAGAUUGCUAGUGUUUGCACUUUUAUUGUUGCUUUUUCUAAUAAUUUUUAAGAAUUAUUUAUUAAAAUGACCGACCCUUCAGAUUUUUUUUGUAUUCAAUUUUCAGAAAACCACUGAGACAGAACAGGGAUGGGAAGUAAGGAAUAAAGAAAGGUAAUUAAAAAGAACAAAACUUGUAGCUUUCAAAGUUAUUCACCAAUGAAUAAACCAGUUAAUAUUUAAUGAUAUUCUUUUUAUUAUGGUUGGAUUACAAAACAGCUUUAUCUUUGUCUUCAAAUCUUAAGUGUCAGGAAUAUUUAAUACAUUCUGGGGUAUGCUGUUAUUUGACUUUUUUAAUAAAAGGAAAAAUACUGUUUUCAACUUCUCUGUUAAACUUCUUUCCAUCAAAUCAUUUUUUUCUGCCCUAAUACAUAUUGGUAUAGACUAUACUUUGGUUCUUUUCUUAAUUUAGUAUCACUUAAGUGGCUCAGAGUGAUUUCUCUGAUCGACCUCUUGUAAGUACUCUUUAUCUUGUAGAAGACAUGAGACUGGACUGAAUAUCUAAUGACCUUGGGACUUAACUAGAACUUUUUUCUGAUGAAAUUUCUACUUUUAUUGCUUUGUCAGUUAAAGGUCUUUUGCUGAGAUCCAUACAUCCUCUGGUUCAUUUGUUUAACAAGUGGAGAAACUGAAAAGCAGUAUGUUUAUACAUGGAGAUGCUGAACCAAAUAUUUGUCAUGUAACACACUGAUUCAGCCAAGUAACUAGUCUGAAUUCUUUCUUCACUAGAGCCAUGACCUUGCUAGGCUAUAUCAUUUGAUAAUUUCAGAGAGCAUGUGUAUAAGAGGAAGCAAUAAACCUGGUUUACUGAUGGACACUGUGGUGUGUACGACAGGCUCCCUUCCAUGAAGGAUUUAUGCCCAGCAGCUGGGAGUGUUGCCACCAGAUGGUCUUUGGCUGUAGCCCCUUUUGAGGAGAGCUGCCUCAUCCAAGGUCACUUCAAUUCCUAAGGCAGACCAUUUUUUAAAUAUUUUUUAAAAAUAUUUUUAUUUUUGAGAGAGAGAAAAAGAAAGAGAGAAAGAGAUAGAACAUGAAUGGGGGAGGGGCAGAGAGAGAGAGGGAGGUACAGAAUCAGAAGCAGGCUCCAAGCUCUGUCAGCAUAGAGCCUGAUGCAGGGCUCAAACCCACGAACUGUGAGCUCAUGACCUGAGCUGAACUUGGAGGCUUAACCAACUGAGCCACCCAGGAACCCCAACUGAUAAGGCAGACCGUUUUAAAUGUCUGAUUAAUGUGAGAGCAAAAGACCUGAUCAUCUUGACACAAGGGAGUGCAACUCUAAAAAACCAUUCUAGCUCUAGAGUUGUUCAUGGAGUAAACCAAGACUGUCACUGGUUCCACGUCACAGCUCUACUUGUGCCGAUUCCUGCCUACUUUCUCACUCUUCCACAGGUGUUGAGCCCAAGGGCACUACUUAACAAAAAUCCUCACACUAAACUCUCAGAGUCUGGUUUCUGAGGACCAAACGUAACAAUCGGUGGUACAGAAGUGAAAACAUCUGGGCAGUUUUCAUAAUCUGCACUUUUUUUACCGAGUUCAUUUUGCCAUUAUGAAGAAACAGCCUAAACUAUGUAAAAUUAUGAUAUUAGUUAACUUUACAUGUUUUUAAAAAUCAUAAUGUAGAAAGAGACACAGGGUCAUAGCUGAUCAUUAGAAGAGUUAAGUAAGUUGGCUCAAUGAUUAAUCCACUAGACUCUGUUAUUCUUAUUAAAACCUAUCGACUAGGGGCGCCUGGGUGGCGCAGUCGGUUAAGCGUCCGACUUCAGCCAGGUCACGAUCUCGCGGUCCGGGAGUUCGAGCCCCGCGUCGGGCUCUGGGCUGAUGGCUCAGAGCCUGGAGCCUGUUUCCGAUUCUGUGUCUCCCUCUCUCUCUGCCCCUCCCCCGUUCAUGCUCUGUCUCUCUCUGUCCCAAAAAUAAAUAAACGUUGAAAAAAAAAAAAUUAAAAAAAAAAAAACCUAUCGACUAAAAAAUAAAUAAAUAAAUAAAUAAAUAAAUAAAUAAAUAAAACCUAUCGACUGACCAAACAAACAAAAAAAGGCAUUUACUAGUUGUAGCAAUAAAACACUCAAUUCAUUUGUCAAUAUUAAAUUAAAACACAGUAUCUUCCUAGUUAGAGAUAUAAAAUUAUACUUUUUAUCACAAUCAUCUAACAUACAAGAUAAUGCUUUGUUCUGAGAGUCUCAAACAAUCUGUGAAUUGAGCUACUUUACUUUUUAAAGGAAAAACUCCUACUUCUCAAGUACUGGUUACAGUUCCCAGCAUAUCAUAGAUAUCCAAUAAAUAUUUUAAUUGAAUCAAAGUAAAUUUAUUGAAAAAUAUAAUUUUUUAAGAAUAAAGUUCUGGGUCCUAAGAAUCUAAUUGUUGAAUAUCCAGAAAACACAUUAAAAACAUUUAACAUUUAAAUGUCAAAAUGAAAUGAAUAAAAAAAAACUUUUAUUUGAUUUCAAAAAAAAAUUGGCCUCAAAGAUAAGUAUCAAAAUUCAGCAGCUCAUUCAGAGUUCAGUGUUUCUGUUUGUUUUUAUCAGGUUGAUUAAUAAGAACAUUCCUGGAAAGAUUCACAUGAUUGGUACUCAAAGUGAUUCUAGCCUGUAAGGGAGAGGAUACAUGCACAAACAGGAAAAAAACGGUAUAGGCUUCUACAAAGACAAUAAAAGGAAAGGAGGAGCAAACUUGUAUUUAACAUACACUGUAUACCAAACACUGCUUUACAUAUGUUAUUCUAUUUAAUCCCCAUAAUAAUCAUACAGGGUUAGUAGUAUUAUCUUCAACAUAUUGAUGAAAAAAGAGAUUCAAAAAUCAACAAAUUUAGAGGAAAUAGAUAUUUCACCCAUUUAAGGAUCAGGAAAGUUUUUCUUGUAAAAGAUUGUAUUUGAGAUGAGUCUUGAAAAAAAACAGAAGAUUUAGAUAUGCAAGGAAGGAAACAGCAUGACAAUGAAUAUGAAGGCAGAAAAGUGCUGAAUUUAUCCAGAGGAGCAGUUUGUUCAGAGCAAUUUGAUACAAGCAAAGAGGAGUAUGGGAAACAAAACAUUGAAAAGGUAGGUUGAGCCAAAAUGUGAAAUCUCCUGUCAGGCUAAGAGUUUGCAAUUUUUUUUUUAAUUUUUUUUUAAUGUUUUAUUUAUUUUUGAGACAGAGAGAGACAGAGCAUGAACAGGGGAGGGGCAGAGAGAGAGGGAGACACAGAGAGCAGGCUCCAGGCUCUGAGCCAUCAGCCCAGAGCCCGACACGGGGCUUGAACUCACGGACCACGAGAUCUGACCUGAGCCGAAGUCAGCCACCCAACCGACUGAGCCACCCAGGCACUCCGGAAGAGUUUGCAAUUUAUUUGCCUAAGGGCUGACUGGCUUGGUGAUGAGACAAAAUAAACAUAGAUUUCAGGGGAGACAUCAUAGGAAAUAAAUGUUCCAGGUGAGAAGUAAUGAGGGCUUGGACUACAGGGUAGAUGAGUGGGAGAGGAAAUGGGUUCAAAAGAUGUUUAUAAAGAUAUCAGGGAUAGUUUUGGCAAAUAAUGGAAGGUAGUGGGCCAUGGAGAGAGGUAUCAAAGAUGACUCCACUCUUUUAAGCCUGAACAAGUGUAAAGGCAAUGUUUUCAUCAACCAAAAUAAAGAAAAUACAAGCAAAGUGUAAAUUUAGUAAACAAAGGGUUUAGUUCUGGUCUUAGUGAAUUUGUGGUGUUUACAUCUGGCACAUAAUAGACAUCAAUCAACAGGCAGGUUUUUUUUUCUUUUUUAAGUUUAUUUAUUUAUUUUGAGACAGAGAGAGACAGCAUGUGCACACUCGUGGGGGAGGGGCAGAGAGAGAGGGAGAGAGAAAGAGAGAGAGAGAGAGAGAGAGAGAGAGAGAGAGAAUCCCAAGCAGGCUCUGCACUGUCAGCGCAGAUCCACACAAGGGCUCUAUCUCAAGAACCCAUGAGAUCAUGACCUGAGCCGAAAUCAAAAGUCCAACGCUUAACUGACUGAGCCACCCAGGCACGCCUCAAUAAACGGUUUUAAAUAAAUUAAUCCAGCUCAUUUUGUCCCGCAUAAAAUCACUGGUGGGGAAAACAUCUUAAGGAUAUUAUUGCCAAAUAGAGUUUGUGGGGAAGAAUGCCUCCAGGACACAAUUUAAUACAUAGAAGCAUUUACAGAUCAAAACUUAAGAGAAGGAAAGAAUUGCUGAGUUUUUCAGGAAAAGGGAGACCAAGGAAGAUGACAGGUGUAUUCUAAUAUUUGAAGAGUUAUCCUGGAGGAAGCCAGAUCUACUUGUUCUAGAUGGAUCCAGAAAGCAAUUUUGAUGUCAUCCCAUUAAGGUUCUAUUUGCAGUUACCAAAAAGGAUUGAAAAUGAAAGAAGCCUAGCAAUGAGCCUCAAAGAAUCCCUCUCUUACAAGAAGAAAACAGGAUCUGCUAGUAGAGUUGUGUAAGGAAUGAUCAGAGUUCUAAGUGAAUCUGCAGUAGGAAGUUCACUUGGAACAAAGGAAGCUAGAGUUUCUGAAGGUGCUGGUAAACAGUGUUGAAUUCUUCAGUGGUGAUGGAAACAAGUGAUGAAAAACAGGACCCUGGGUUUGGCAUUCAGACUUUUUUCACCGCUUUUAAAGCUUCAGUUGAAUGUCCAGGGGGGACAAUAAUUGAAGAGGAUUUUGGAGUGAUGGGUAAUGAAUAAAUGAAGCCCAAUGCUAAAAGAAACUUGACAAAAAGGAAGUUUCACUUCCUUUACUUCAACAAAAAUUUAAGUGCAUAAGUUUAGAUCAUUAGACUACUUAUUUCCAAUAAUAAGGACAGGAUUAUAUAUUCAGCUGUUAAAAGUAGAGCCAAGUAAAUAUACUUGGGGUUCAAAGAACUAGGAAAUUUCCAUUUUUAACCAAAAAUUGGGUGACAAAGAACAGAGGUUUUAUUAAGAUCUUAAAAGGAAGAACUUGGACUUUUAUAUUCAUUUGAAAAUUCUGCCUUAUGCUAAAGAUGAAAACCAAAUACAAGUCAAGAAAAACAACUAAAAGGAUAAUAUUUAAAGCUUGAAAAAAAAGCCUGGCCAUUGCUGUAGGCUGUGGACAGACAAGCAAAUUAGUAAAAAGUUAAGCAAUUGCCUAACAAUGUGUUCAGCAAAUAGAUGCUCUUAGUAAUUUAAGCCAUAUGUGUAGCAACUGAAAUACCAGUAUUUGUAGGCCUAAAUUUUUCAAACAUUUGCCCAAACUUUCCAUUUUACUUGCUCUGUGAAAUGAAUAACUUAUACCUUCAACAGCAGGUAGAAAAUUUUUGAGAAUAUACUGCUAAGUGCAAUGAACUUUGUACCUUUCUAUUGAUAUAGAGCAUAAUUAGAUUAAAAAGUAUUGUUAGUAACAAAAUAUUGUUAAAAAUAAAUAGAAGUCUCCAGUUACAACACUGAUUUCUUCAUAAUUAAUACGAUAUCCAAAAUUACUCAACAAUGUGGAUAAAAGAUACAUUUUACUUUCUCUAGUCCAUGGAAGAGAUGGAAAUGCAAAACAAAUCAGUAUGCUCUGUAAAACAGACAUUUUAAUGCCUACCUCAGAGGGAAAACAUCAUCUUAAUAUCUUGUUUACUGGGAAAUAGAAAAAUGAGAGACAUUCAGACCAUGAGGUUACAAAACCAUGAUAAAUAAGCCCUGUUGAGAAAAAAGAAAUGAAUUUUCAAAAAAAGAGUAGAUGUAGAAUUAUGUGAUAAAAGUCAUUUUAAACAUCCUACACCAUAAAAUAUGGGUUAAAAGAUCAACAUUUAGGUCCUUUAGAAAUGAGCAAUUGAGUUGAAGGUACAUCAUUUCCUUCAUGGCAAUUAUCAGGAGCUGGGAUUUCUAAGUCCUGAUGAGUCAUAGGAUUGGGCCAACAGUAUACCGGUAGACCAAAAGGCCAAAAUCUCAUUCAAUGGCUUUGUAGUUAGUAACCAGUAAACAAAGUCUAUCUUUGAUCAGUCAUACAAAUGAUACCAUUGUGAGUAGUCAAGCAAAUAGUAUUUUUAUACCUAAUAUAUAUAUAGCCCUUCAUACAUGUAAAUGUUGUGUUACUUUUUUCUUCUAUGAAUAAGCUUACUGACUAGAAAGAUAUAAUUUCACUUUUUAGAAACAUAUAGUAUGCACGCAACAAUGUGCAACUGCAGAAGCCAAUAUUGAAGAGUAUAUGCCCAUUAAAAAAAGAACCUCUAGCAUUUUAAUCAACAGGUUUUUUCCUUUGGUUUAUUUAUCUAUUAAUGAUAGUCUAAACAGUUUAUCUGAAAUAACAACUAUUAUAUUGGAAUAUGGUGUUCUUGGUGAAAAGUAUUUUGAUGUUAGUUAUCAGAUAUAGUAAUCUUUAAUGCUCAUAAUAUGGAUAUUCAUGAUUUCAUGGAAUGAGAACUAUAAGAAAUAUCAGGCUUAAAAAAUAAUGAAUCCUCCCAUACGCACAUAGACACAUCCCCCACUCUACAUCAAGGUUAUUAAAUCCUAUUCAAAGUAAACAGGGAAAAAGAAACAUUGUUCAGUCUGCUUCUGCACAGAGCUAGUUAAUCAUUAGGAAUGGAAUGUGUUGGAAUUAAAGGAAAACCUUAAAUUACAAACCCAGAUGUCUUCAUCAUGAUCAAGUGCAAACAUUUCAGGCCUUCCCAGAAAUCCAAAACCUCAGGAUCUGCCAGAAUUGCACCCUCCCUCCCCCACCAACCUUUCAGAUUUCAACCUUAAGAGAACUUCCCUCUUAAGAGAAUCUUCACAUAGCUCCCCAAGGACUCUGACAUUCGAUCUUUUCAAAACACUGGAAACCUGGUCUGAAAAUUUUCAAAAUGUCUCACUAGAGAAAUGUAGACUGUCAUUAUCAUUCUGCCUUGUUUGU